UCGGAAUUUUUUGGAAUGUUGGAGAAUGAAACAAAUGGUACUUAACGGUGUGCUAAUGCUAAUGGCUGUGCUAUAAGGCCUUACUGUUUAAAUGUAUGCAGGGGUGAACAGGGCCCUCAGGCAAUAUAACAUCAAGGGUCGUCCCUCAUGGUGCAAGAUUUAUUGGCUACUACUAUUCUCCCCCCUCUUUGUGCGGCUCUCACACAGUUAUUAUGUGCACUCUACCCAGUCAUGACUCGUUUUACUUUUAACACCUCAGUGACCAGACCGUUUUUUCAUUUUCUUACCGUUCAGGACCAGGGCUGUUUUUAGAUUUCAGCAGUGUUUGUGUUUAGCUGUAAUUUUACUCUUACUCAUUUACUGUACCC